rnacentral:rRNA from 1 species
CAGAACUACAAGGAAUUGCGGGGCCGCACAAGCGGUGGAGUAUGUGGUUUAAUUCGAUGCAACGCGAAGAACCUUACCUGGUCUUGACAUCCCGGAGACCCUUAGGAAACUAGGGGGUGCUUCCAUCUGGAAGAAUCUGGAGACAGGUGCUGCAUGGCUGUCGUCAGCUCGUGUCGUGAGAUGUUGGGUUAAGUCCCGCAACGAGCGCAACCCUUGCCUUUAGUUGCCAGCAGUUCGGCUGGGCACUCUAAAGGGACUGCCGGUGUUAAACCGGAGGAAGGUGGGGAUGACGUCAAGUCCUCAUGGCCUUUAUGACCAGGGCUACACACGUACUACAAUGGCCGAUACAAAGGGCAGCGACACUGCGAGGUGAAGCCAAUCCCGUAAAAUCGGUCUCAGUCCGGAUUGGAGUCUGCAACUCGACUCCAUGAAGUUGGAAUCGCUAGUAAUCGUGGAUCAGCAUGCCACGGUGAAUACGUUCCCGGGCCUU